AUGGCGAUGAACAAGCAAGAGUGGAUACCAACUGGAGACACAAGGCUAACCGAGUGGUGCUUGAGUAAGGGUGGAAACAAAGGUGAGGGAAAAGACAUCCGCGCCCUCAUCCUCCUCGUUAUGUGGAAACUGUGGAAACACCGCAACUCGAUUGUGUUUGAUGGUGCAACACCAUCGGUGAAAGGAGUACUACGCCGUAUAAAGGAGGAGGGCAGAGUGUGGAAAACGGCCGGCAUCAUCAAAGUAGACGUAGAGAGCUUCUUUGUGGCUCUAGAAGUGGGCAAUGAGGCGAGGAGUUAG
rnacentral:rRNA from 1 species